rnacentral:rRNA from 1 species
UACGUAGGGGGCUAGCGUUGUCCGGAAUCAUUGGGCGUAAAGAGCGUGUAGGCGGCCAUGUAGGUCCGUUGUGAAAACUCGAGGCUCAACCUCGAGACGCCGAUGGAAACCAUGUGGCUAGAGUCCGGAAGAGGAGAGUGGAAUUCCUGGUGUAGCGGUGAAAUGCGCAGAUAUCAGGAAGAACACCCGUGGCUAAGGCGGCCCUCUAGUACGGUACUGACGCUGAGACGCGAAAGCGUGGGGAGCGAACAGG